GAUGAACGCUGGCGGCGUGCCUAAUACAUGCAAGUCGAGCGAACAGAUGAGGAGCUUGCUCCUCUGACGUUAGCGGCGGACGGGUGAGUAACACGUGGAUAACCUACCUAUAAGAUUGGGAUAACUUCGGGAAACCGGAGCUAAUACCGGAUAAUAUAUUGAACCGCAUGGUUCAAUAGUGAAAGACGGUUUUGCUGUCACUUAUAGAUGGAUCCGCGCCGCAUUAGCUAGUUGGUAAGGUAACGGCUUACCAAGGCAACGAUGCGUAGCCGACCUGAGAGGGUGAUCGGCCACACUGGAACUGAGACACGGUCCAGACUCCUACGGGGGGCAGCAGUAGGGAAUCUUCCGCAAUGGGCGAAAGCCUGACGGAGCAACGCCGCGUGAGUGAUGAAGGUCUUCGGAUCGUAAAACUCUGUUAUUAGGGAAGAACAAAUGUGUAAGUAACUAUGCACGUCUUGACGGUACCUAAUCAGAAAGCCACGGCUAACUACGUG
rnacentral:rRNA from 1 species